rnacentral:rRNA from 1 species
AGUGAACGCUGGCGGUAGGCCUAACACAUGCAAGUCGAACGGCAGCACAAUAAGAGCUUGCUCUUACGGGUGGCGAGUGACGGAUGGGUGAGAAAUACAUCGGAAUCUACUUUUUCGUGGGGGAUAACGUAGGGAAACUUACGCUAAUACCGCAUACGACCUACGGGUGAAAGCAGGGGAUCUUCGGACCUUGCGCGAUUGAAUGAGCCGAUGUCGGAUUAGCUAGUUGGCGGGGUAAAGGCACACCAAGGCGACGAUCCGUAGCUGGUCUGAGAGGAUGAUCAGCCACACUGGAACUGAGACACGGUCCAGACUCCUACGGGAGGCAGCAGUGGGGAAUAUUGGGCAAUGGGCGCAAGCCUGAUCCAGCCAUACCGCGUGGGUGAAGAAGGCCUUCGGGUUGUAAAGCCCUUUUGUUGGGAAAGAAAAGCAGCAGGUUAAAACCCCGCUGUUCUGACGGUACCCAAAGAAUAAGCACCGGCUAACUUCGUG